rnacentral:rRNA from 1 species
GGAGGAUGCGAGCGUUAUCCGGAUUAUNGGGUNUAAAGGGAGCGCAGGCUGCGAGGCAAGUCAGCGGUCAAANGUCGGGGCUCAACCCCGGCCUGCCGUNGAAACUGUCCUGCUAGAGUUCGAGUGAGGUAUGCGGAAUGCGUNGUGUAGCGGUGAAAUGCAUAGAUAUGACGCAGAACUCCGAUUGCGAAGGCAGCAUACCAACUCGCGACUGACGCUGAGGCUCGAAAGCGUGGGUAUCGAACAGGAUUAGAUACCCUGGUAGUCCACGCAGUAAACGAUGAAUACUAACUGUUCGGAGGGCGACCUCUGAGUGGUAAAGCGAAAGCGUUAAGUAUUCCACCUGGGGAGU